rnacentral:tRNA from 1 species
AUUCUCGUAGCUUAAGGGAUAAGCCCCAGCCUUCUAAGCUGGUUUUAUGUUGGUUCGAAUCCAACCGGGAAUA